rnacentral:rRNA from 1 species
GACGAACGCUGGCGGCGUGCUUAACACAUGCGAGGCGAACGGAAAGGCCCUGCUGUUGUGGGGUGCUCGAGGGGCGAACGGGUGAGUAACACGGGAGUAACCUGCCCUGGAGGGUGGGAUAACUUCAGGGAACGGGUGCUAAUACCGGAGAGGAGCUCCUGCUGCAGGGGGGGGGUUGGAAAGUUUGGGCUGGUGUGGCUGGAUGCGCGGCUAAUCAGCUUGUGGGUGGGGUAGUGGCUUAGGAAGGCUUUGGCGGGUAGCCGGCCUGGGAGGGUGACCGGCGCCCUUAGGCCUGCGAUACGGCCCAGUCUGCUAUGGGAGGCAGCAGGCGAGAAUAUUGCCCAACGAGCGGACGCCUGAGAAAGAAACGCCGCGGGUGGGAUGCAGGCCUUCGGGGUGAAAACCGCUUUCGCCUGUGACGAAGCGUGAGUGACGGUAAUGGAUAAAGAAGCACCGGCUAACUACGUG